GAUGAACGCUGGCGGUCUGCUUAACACAUGCAAGUCGAACGGAGGUAGAAAUACCUCAGUGGCGGACGGGUGAGUAACACGUGAGAAUCUAGCUUCAGGUCGGGGAUAACAGAGGGAAACCGCUGCUAAUACCGAAUGUGCCGAGAGGUGAAAGACAAGUUGCCUGAGGAUGAGCUCGCGGCGGAUUAGCUAGUUGGUGGGGUAAAAGCCUACCAAGGCGACGAUCCGUAGCUGGUCUGAGAGGACGAGCAGCCACACUGGGACUGAGACAAGGCCCAGACUCCUACGGGAGGCAGCAGUGGGGAAUUUUCCGCAAUGGGCGAAAGCCUGACGGAGCAAGACCGCGUGAGGGAGGAAGGCUCUUGGGUUGUAAACCUCUUUUCUUUGGGAAGAAGAAAGUGACGGUACCAAAGGAAUCAGCAUCGGCUAACUCCGUGCCAGCAGCCGCGGUAAUACGGAGGAUGCAAGCGUUAUCCGGAAUCAUUGGGCGUAAAGCGUCCGCAGGUGGUGGGGCAAGUCGGCUGUCAAAGGUCACAGCUUAACUGUGAACAGGCGGUGGAAACUGCCAAACUAGAGUGCGGUAGGGGUAGAGGGAAUUCCCGGUGUAGCGGUGAAAUGCGUAGAGAUCG
rnacentral:rRNA from 1 species